rnacentral:piRNA from 1 species
UGAGAAAGAUGUCUUAGUUUAUGAAGAGA